rnacentral:rRNA from 1 species
CUCGUGUCGUGAGAUGUUGGGUUAACGUCCCGCAACGAGCGCCAACCCCUUAUCCUCAGUUGCCAUCAUUAAGUUGGGCACUCUGUGGAGACUGCCGGUGUUAAACCGGAGGAAGGUGGGAUGACGUCAAGUCCUCAUGGCCCUUAUGACCAGGGCUACACACGUGCUACAAUGGCCGGUACAAAGAGUUGCGAUACCGCGAGGUGGAGCCAAUCUCAUAAAGCCGGUCUCAGUUCGGAUUGCAGGCUGCAAUUCGCCUGCAUGAAGUUGGAGUUGCUAGUAACCGCGCGUCAGCUAUAGUGCGGUGAAUACGUUCCCGGGGCUU